AACGAACGCUGGCGGCAGGCCUAACACAUGCAAGUCGAGCGCCCCGCAAGGGGAGCGGCGGACGGGUGAGUAACGCGUGGGAACGUACCCUUUGCUACGGAAUAGCCUCGGGAAACUGGGAGUAAUACCGUAUGUGCCCUUCGGGGGAAAGAUUUAUCGGCAAAGGAUCGGCCCGCGUUGGAUUAGGUAGUUGGUGGGGUAAUGGCCUACCAAGCCGACGAUCCAUAGCUGGUUUGAGAGGAUGAUCAGCCACACUGGGACUGAGACACGGCCCAGACUCCUACGGGAGGCAGCAGUGGGGAAUCUUAGACAAUGGGGGAAACCCUGAUCUAGCCAUGCCGCGUGAUCGAUGAAGGCCUUAGGGUUGUAAAGAUCUUUCAGGUGGGAAGAUAAUGACUGUACCACCAGAAGAAGCCCCCGGCUAAACUCCGUGCCAGCAGCCCGNGGUAAUGUACAGUGU
rnacentral:rRNA from 1 species